AAGUCGUAACAAGGUUUCCGUAGGUGAACCUGCGGAAGGAUCAUCAUUGAAUCUAUCCUUACAAACCCUGUGAACUGUAUGUUAAGAGCAGUUGGCUAGGAAGGCCUGGCGGCUAGUCGGGUCGUGUCUCCCUUUUGUCCCUCGGGGCAUAGGGAGUGCCUGCCAUCUACUCUCAUUCAAACAAACUCUUUAAACAUUUAAACUAAAAAACAUUUAAACUAAAACAACUUUCAACAAUGGAUCUCUUGGCUCUC
rnacentral:misc_RNA from 1 species